rnacentral:rRNA from 1 species
UACGGAGGGUGCGAGCGUUGUCCGGAAUCAUUGGGCGUAAAGGGCGCGUAGGUGGCCCGGUGAGUCUUUGGUGAAAGCGCGGGGCUCAACCCUGCGUCGGCCAGGGAUACUGCCGCGGCUCGAGCACUGUAGAGGCAGGCGGAAUUCCGGGUGUAGCGGUGAAAUGCGUAGAUAUGUGGAAGAACACCAGUGGCGAAGGCGGUUUUCUAGCUUAUUCCUGACGCUAAAGCGCGAAAGCAAGGGGAUCAAACAGG